rnacentral:rRNA from 1 species
GUCUAUGGCCAUGCCACCCUGAACACGCCCGAUCUCAUCUGAUCUCGAAAACUAAGCAGGGUCGGGCCUGGUUAGUACUUGGAUAGGAGGCCACCUAGGAAGACCAGGUGCUUGCAGGCA